ensembl:lncRNA
CUCUUCAGCUCUCUGAAUUCCUCUUUCCCCCAGGGUACUUUUAAUCACAGCAACAGAAAAGAAACCAAUAUACAUUCAUCAUUAAGGUAUAACUCCCACAGAUGUCACCCAAGAUAUGGGAACCAAGGAAGCUGCAAAUCGACACUUCUGAAGCAAUCACUCAUUGGAAAAGAACUGAAGAGUGCUGUGUGACUGCCAGUUUACCUGAAGCCGUUUUGGUGGCUGCAGACUACAUCUGAUGUUGAAGAUGCUACCAUUUAUUUUCUACAUUUAUUCCAUCUGUGACUUUUACUCUGCCAACUUGACCUUCAGAAAUCCAUUCUGAGAACUAAGAGGAACACGGCCAAGAAACUACAACAGCAUGUAAGAAUACACAUGUGGAGGAUAGAUCUGAGUGAGGAGAAAAGGAAGCAAGUUGGAGGCAGGCGUGUGGACUGUCUAAUGGCACUGUGCAGCCUGGAGUCACACACAAGACACAAACAAUAUCUUCCUUCAAAUAAAGGAUUCCUGUAACCUCAGCAGAGCACAAACAAGCAAACAUCUUACCUACACACUAUGACACUCUCAUUCCUCAACAGAACAGGGGACAUCUAUCAAGGCCAAAUGUCAUAAAAUAAUGACCUUUAUUAAAGAUGAUCAAAAUUCCUUUUUUUAAUGAAGAGUGGAGAAAACAUGAAUUAUGUACUCAUGAAUAAAUAAUGCCCAAUUUACAGUUCUAUAUAAACACACACACACACACAUACACACACACACACACACACACACACACACACACACACACAUGCACACCAGUAGUGAGGGAAAGUGAGAGAGAGAGAGAGAGAGAGAGAGAGAGAGAGAGAGAGAGAGAGAGAGAGUGUGCUGGAAGGAGUACAAGUUAUGGUGUAUGUCUUUAAAUAUACUUUUAUCAAACUUUAUUAACAAUAUAGUAUUUUAUUUGUUGUGUAUAGUAGAAAACACACUUGUGACCAGUUAAAUGGCUAAAAGUUGGUUCAAAGUUUCAUCUGCAGAGAAAAGAAACACAUAAUAUGAAGAUUAUUAAAAUUGGAUUCAUGAUUUUGUAUUUUUCAUUUUAAAUUUUGAUAAUCAGGGGGAAUACUAAACACUGAAAAUAAUAUUUUCUUGCUAUAUUG